GGCUCAGGAUGAACGCUAGCGGCAGGCUUAACACAUGCAAGUCGAGGGGCAGCAUGAGACGGAGAUUCGUCAAAGUCUUGAUGGCGACCGGCGCAAGGGUGCGUAACGCGUGAGCAACUUGCCCGUUUCUGGGGAAUAACCGGUGGAAACGCCGACUAAUACCCCAUGGUAUUGACUUUGGGCAUCCUUAGUCAAUUAAAGAAUUUCGGAAACGGAUAGGCUCGCGUGACAUUAGCUUGAUGGCGGGGUAACGGCCCACCAUGGCGGCGAUGUCUAGGGGUUCUGAGAGGAAGGUCCCCCACACUGGAACUGAGACACGGUCCAGACUCCUACGGGAGGCAGCAGUGAGGAAUAUUGGUCAAUGGUCUGACGACUGAACCAGCCAUGCCGCGUGAAGGUCACGGCCCUAUGGGUCUUAAACUUCUUUUGUAAGGGAGCAAUAAGCUUUACGUGUAGAGUGAUGAGAGUACCUUACGAAUAAGCAUCGGCUAACUCCGUG
rnacentral:rRNA from 1 species